UGGGGAAUAUUGCACAAUGGACGGAAGUCUGAUGCAGCAACGCCGCGUGCGGGAUGACGGCCUUCGGGUUGUAAACCGCUUUUUCUCAUGACGAAGUUUUUUGACGGUAGUGGGGGAAGAAGCACCGGCUAACUACGUGCCAGCAGCCGCGGUGAUACGUAGGGUGCGAGCGUUGUCCGGAAUUAUUGGGCGUAAAGAGCUUGUAGGCGGGUUGUCGCGUCGAUAGUGCAAACUCAGUGCUUAACGCUGAGCCUGCUGUUGAUACGGGCAGACUAGAGGAAGGUAGGGGGGAAUGGAAUUCCCGGUGGAGCGGUGGAAUGCGCGGAUAUCGGGAGGAACACCGGUGGCGAAGGCGGUUCUCUGGGCCUUUCCUGACGCUGAGAAGCGAAAGCGUGGGGAGCGAACAGG
rnacentral:rRNA from 1 species